UUGAACGUAAUACAAGUAAUUCAUUUGGGCCCUGACUCGGGCGGGCGGCUGGUGUGAAGCUCACAUGUGACGGUGGGGCUCAGGCGGCUUUUGGCAGAAAGAUUUAUCAUAAAAAAUGACAUUUUGAUCCAAUUUCUUUCUGGAUCCUCUGACAUUGAGUGUAUCUGAUGAAGGGAGUGGCCGGCUGAACUUGAAUCUCUUGACUUUCCUGCAGUUUAGGCUGGGGCUGAGCCUGGACAAAUGUCAGAUAUUUCGUGGAGUUUUUUUCCUCCUAGGGGAUUUCCCUUCUUUGUAUACCAGAAGACUGUACCAUCCACAGCAGCUUCUCCAGUGCUCCAAAGAUACCACAGUUCCUACCUCUUGAAUUCCUUACUGAGGCUUCCACAGGAGGUCAGUUCAUCAAUAGCCUUCUUCCCAAGAUGGUGCCCAACAACAACACUCUCAGACAUGGCAAGUGGCAACACAGUCCUCUUUUAAAAUACUGACCCAUUAUGUGAUGGUGACAACUGUCUCAUCAAAUCCUCCACCUGGACCCAGACUUGCAAGAAACAGAGUCUUGUUUUAUGUAUGGGACUGCUGGUCUCUUUAUACCACCACUGACUGAAUUACCUUUUGGAUGAGCCUUUUUUUCUGUAUGCCAGGGAGCCAUGGCUGGAGCUACUUAUUGUUCACUCCUCACCCCUUUAUUCUGCAUCAUUCUUCUGUUUCUUGUGCUUCCCUGCUGUCCUGUCAGUUCCUUCAUGACUUUGGAUGCUCUUGCAAUAAUUUUUUUUUUGUAAUAGAGUGUAUUACUCUUUAUUUUUCUGAUCAUUUCAUUCACUGUGGAUUCAGCUUCUAAUUGUGAAUAUUACUCCAAAAGUCUUACAUCCCAUAUGAAAAGUUCCCAAAGAUAAACAUUUACAUUUAUUCAUUUACAUUUAUUUAUCUUUUCUUAGAAGGUUAUAAUAAGUUAAUGUCUCUAAAACGAACAGUAGAAAAUCCAAGCACUGUCAAUUAUAAAUAAUAUUUUUUGUCAUCUAUGAAGAGCUUUUUGCCUGUAAGUAUUGUUGUGAGUAUCAUUCAUCAUAGUCCAUUUUGUGCUGGGGCAACAGAACACUACAAAAUGGUAAUUUGUAAAGACAAGAAAUUUUUCUCUGAUUGUUCAGGAGGCUGGGAAGUCCAAGAUGAAGGCUAGCUUUAGCAUCUGGUCUUUGGUAGGAAGAUCCUGCAUAGUAGAAGGCUGAAGGGCAGAAUGGAGGUGAUACCUUGUCUUAAUGUGGCAGAUGAACAGAAGAGAGAGACAGAGAGAGAGAGAGAGAGAGAGAGAGAGAGAGAGAGAGAGAGAGAGAGAGAGAGAGAGAGAGAGA